rnacentral:rRNA from 1 species
AACGAACGCUGGCGGCAGGCCUAACACAUGCAAGUCGAGCGGGGACUUCGGUCCUAGCGGCGGACGGGUGAGUAACGCGUGGGAACAUACCCCUUUCUACGGAAUAGCCUCGGGAAACUGGGAGUAAUACCGUAUAAGCUCUACGGAGGAAAGAUUUAUCGGGAAGGGAUUGGCCCGCGUUGGAUUAGGUAGUUGGUGGGGUAAUGGCCUACCAAGCCGACGAUCCAUAGCUGGUUUGAGAGGAUGAUCAGCCACACUGGGACUGAGACACGGCCCAGACUCCUACGGGAGGCAGCAGUGGGGAAUCUUAGACAAUGGGCGCAAGCUUGAUCUAGCCAUGCCGCGUGAGCGAUGAAGGCCUUAGGGUUGUAAAGCUCUUUCGUGGGGGAAGAUAAUGACUGUACCCCAAGAGGAAGCCCCGGCUAACUCCGUGCCAGCCGCCGCAGUAACAC